rnacentral:rRNA from 1 species
UACAGAGGCCUCGAGCGUUAGGCGGAAUCACUGGGCUUAAAGCGUGUGUAGGCGGACUUCUAAGUACCUUGUGAAAUCCCACGGCUCACCCGUGGAACUGCUCGGUAUACUGGUCGUCUUGAGCCUUCUAGGGGCGAGUGGAACAAAUGGUGGAGCGGUGAAAUGCGUAGACAUCAUUUGGAACGCCAAUGGUGAAAACAACUCGCUGGGGAAGUGCUGACGCUGAGACACGAAAGCCAGGGGAGCGAACGGG